UAGUAACGGCGAGUGAAGCGGCAACAGCUCAAAUUUGAAAUCUGGCUCCUUCGGGGUCCGAGUUGUAAUUUGUAGAGAGUGCUUCGGGCGAGACCUCGGUCUAAGUCCAUUGGAACAUGGUGUCAUAGAGGGUGAGAAUCCCGUAUGCGACCGUGGCUCGAGCCCAUGUGAAGCCUCUUCGACGAGUCGAGUUGUUUGGGAAUGCAGCUCAAAACGGGUGGUAAAUUUCAUCUAAAGCUAAAUACUGGCUGGAGACCGAUAGCGCACAAGUAGAGUGAUCGAAAGAUGAAAAGCACUUUGGAAAGAGAGUCAAACAGUACGUGAAAUUGUUGAAAGGGAAGCGCUUGCAACCAGACCUGCCCGUAGGCGAUCAGCCGCUGUUCUCAGCGGUGCACUCGCUCUGCGAUCAGGCCAGCAUCGGUUUCGGCGGUCGGAUAAAGGCCUUGGGAAUGUAGCUUCCCUUCGGGGGAGUCUUAUAGCCCUCGGUGCAAUGCGGCCAGCCGGGACCGAGGACCGCGCUUCGGCUAGGAUGCUGGCGUAAUGGUUGUAAGCGACCCGUCUUGAAACACGGACCAAGGAGUCUAACAUCUAUGCGAGUGUUUGGGUGUCAAACCCAUACGCGGAAUGAAAGUGAACGGAGGUGAGAACCCUUAAGGGCGCAUCAUCGACCGAUCCAGAUGUCUUCGGAUGGAUUUGAGUAUGAGCAUAGCUGUUGGGACCCGAAAGAUGGUGAACUAUGCCUGAAUAGGGUGAAGCCAGAGGAAACUCUGGUGGAGGCUCGCAGCGGUUCUGACGUGCAAAUCGAUCGUCAAAUUUGGGUAUAGGGGCGAAAGACUAAUC
rnacentral:rRNA from 1 species